CCUACGGGAGGCAGCAGUGGGGAAUAUUGCGCAAUGGGCGAAAGCCUGACGCAGCGACGCCGCGUGAGGGAUGAAGGUCUUCGGAUCGUAAACCUCUGUCAGCAGGGAAGAACGGUCACUGUGCUAAUCAGCAGUGAAUUGACGGUACCUGCAAAGGAAGCACCGGCUAACUCCGUGCCAGCAGCCGCGGUAAUACGGAGGGUGCGAGCGUUAAUCGGAAUUACUGGGCGUAAAGCGCUCGUAGGCGGUAUGUCAAGUCAAGGGUGAAAUCCCCGCGCUCAACGUGGGAACUGCCUUUGAAACUGGCAGACUGGAGUGUGUGAGAGGAUAGUGGAAUUCCAGGUGUAGAGGUGAAAUCCGUAGAUAUCUGGAGGAACAUCAGUGGCGAAGGCGACUAUCUGGCACAUAACUGACGCUGAGGAGCGAAAGCGUGGGUAGCAAACAGGAUUAGAUACCCUAGUAGUC
rnacentral:rRNA from 1 species